GACGGAGGGUGCUAGCGUUGUUCGGAAUGACUGGGCGUAAAGGGCGCGUAGGCGGCCGCUUGCGUCGGAUGUGAAAGCCCGGGGCUCAACCCCGGAACGGCAUCCGAUACGGGGCGGCUCGAGACCGAGAGAGGUGAGUGGAAUACCCAGUGUAGAGGUGAAAUUCGUAAAUAUUGGGUGGAACACCGGUGGCGAAAGCGGCUCACUGGCUCGGUUCUGACGCUGAGGCGCGAAAGCGUGGGGAGCAAACAGG
rnacentral:rRNA from 1 species